rnacentral:rRNA from 1 species
AGCAGCCGCGGUAAUUCCAGCUCCAAUAGCGUAUAUUAAAGUUGUUGCAGUUAAAAAGCUCGUAGUUGAAUUUCGGGAUCAAUGUUUCGGUCAUGCCCUUGGUAUGUACUGAUAUUAUUGGUUUCUCACCUUCUAAAGAACCGUAAUGCCAUUAAUUUGGUGUCACGGGGAAUUAGGACUGUUACCUUGAAAAAAUUAGAGUGUUUAAAGCAGGCUCACGCUUGAAUACAUUAGCAUGGAAUAAUGAAAUAGGACAUCCGAUCCUAUUUUGUUGGUUUCUAGGAUCGAUGUAAUGAUUAAUAGGGAUAGUUGGGGGCAUUAGUAUUCAAUUGUCAGAGGUGAAAUUCUUGGAUUUAUUGAAGACUAACUACUGCGAAAGCAUUUGCCAAGGAUGUUUUCAUUAAUCAAGAACGAAAGUUAGGGGAUCGAAGACGAUCAGAUACCGUCGUAGUCUUAACCAUAAACUAUGCCGACUAGGGAUCGGAUGAUGUUAAUUUUUUAAUGACUCA